UGGGGAAUAUUGCACAAUGGGCGCAAGCCUGAUGCAGCGACGCCGCGUGAGGGAUGACGGCCUUCGGGUUGUAAACCUCUUUCAGCAGGGACGAAGCGCGAGUGACGGUACCCUGCAGAAGAAGCACCGGCCAACUACGUGCCAGCAGCCGCGGUAAUACGUAGGGUGCGAGCGUUGUCCGGAAUUACUGGGCGUAAAGAGCUCGUAGGCGGUUUGUCGCGUCGUCUGUGAGAUUCUGCAGCUUAACUGCAGGCGUGCAGGCGAUACGGGCAGACUUGAGUACUACAGGGGAGACUGGAAUUCCUGGUGUAGCGGUGAAAUGCGCAGAUAUCAGGAGGAACACCGGUGGCGAAGGCGGGUCUCUGGGUAGUAACUGACGCUGAGGAGCGAAAGCGUGGGUAGCGAACAGGAUUAGAUACCCUGGUAGUCCACGCCGUAAACGGUGGGUACUAGGUGUGGGUUCCAUUUCACGGGAUCCGUGCCGUAGCUAACGCAUUAAGUACCCCGCCUGGGGAGUACGGCCGCAAGGCUAAAACUCAAAUGAAUUGACGGGGUCAUAGCU
rnacentral:rRNA from 1 species